GAAGAGUGUUUGUACAUAAAGAACUGCUAAUUCCUUACCCUGGGGUUAAACUCCCCAGACCCUUCA
rnacentral:tRNA from 1 species